AGUCACGGACUACUCGUACGUUAUUUUGCUGUGCACGCUUAAAUACUGUGGAACUAACUGUGAUUCUAAAUGUCAGCUGAGCUGAUCAAUGAUUUCAAAAGACUCACCACGUGAAGUUUUCUGAGAACUGUCCCUUUCCAAUGUGCUGCUGCUACCAGCAGAUGGCAGAAUGGACCAGGUUUCUCUCUGCCAUGACCUUGCCCUGCAGUAAGAGGGUCAAACAACCACAACCCAUUCUCCUGUGAACAAAAACUAACCGACACAUGCAAACACAGUUGUAUAGUUGGUCAGCUGACAAACAAGGCAGCAGCUCGACGAGCACGGAAAACACCAGUUUUCUCCAGUUCUGAAGGUCUCCUCCCAGUUAGAUAUGCCCCGGUGGGAUCCUUACCAGGUGCCUGUGAUUGUCUGAGGUUUAAAUGUGUGUAAACAUAACACAAAGCAAAUUAAGUGCUUUCCUAAACAACUGCCAACAUAUCUACAUGUCAUACACAGCUGCUGCUGUUCAUGCUCCAUGCAGUUCCCUAUUUCAUACAGUGCUGAACAAAUUUAUUAGACCACCUGUCAUAAGAACAUGAAAACAUAAAUA